rnacentral:lncRNA from 1 species
UCCCCAUGCAUGCUCCUUGCCUCUAAUUAUGGCUGUAUAUGCAUUGAAACUCUAAAUCUUUAUCCCUAGUGAAUAUCUUACACUCUAUCAAUUUUAUCAUACUUGCCGUCAUAUCUUACUACCAUGAUAUCUACUAUAGAUUCUCACUUGUGAAUUACCUAGCUUGUUAAUGAGAGUGAUACAUUUGGCUAUCUUAGAAUCUAAUUAGCCUUUGGUUGUAGCCAAUUUGUGUAUGAAGAUGGAGGUGACUUGUAAUGUAAAUUAGCUAUUGUAAGGAAUUUAAAAAAUAUAUUAGGAAAUAUGACAAUGAUACCACAUAUACAAUCUCUUGGUCAAAUUAUAAAGUUAGUGUACUUUUAAAAGUUGUAUCUAGAAAUUCACAAGCAUUAAACAAUCAUGUUGGGAUUAAAUAUUGUUAGAAACUCACAAAUGUUAAUUUCAAUAACACUAAUACACUUGCAAUAUAUAUACAAUGGAAUUCAAAUAGUGUUUAAAUAUCAAAUCUCAACUUUGUUGAGCCUAAUAUAUUAAAGAUCAUAUAACAAAGUGUUUCAUGCAUUUUUAAAGUUUUUAUACCUUUCUUUUAAGUUCUUACUGUUGACAUUGUGAAGCUUAAAUAAUUUUGUAGUUAACAUCACUCAAGUCUAGAUGUUCUGUUGUAUAAAAAACAAGACAGUUAACCUUGAAAUGCUAACAUAUGUGGAGCAAGAACAUUAAUAUUUGUAACAAAAUUUUUGUCAGAAAAAAACUCAACUCUUAAUAUUUAAGCAUGCACAUUAGUGAGAUGUGGAUAGAAUGAAUGAAUAGUUGAGGAUUGAGUUGACACCAAUAACUUGUUGGUCAAUACCACAAGUGUCAACUCAUAAUGUUGACACCUCCAUGCAAGAAAGGGAUAAAAAAUGUGUCAUAAUGUCUAUUGUGAGGUAAGAACUUAGCUUAAAAUCUGCAAAUAUGAUAAUCUAAUUUUCAAUAAAAUAAAACGUACAAAAUUAGUGAAUAAUUAGCUAUACUCUAAUUAUUGCAAAGGUAGGACUUUGAAGUUAUAAAAUCAGCCCACCUAAAUGUUGCUACAACAAGCAUUUAGAAGAUAAAAACAUCAUAUCUUUGAAGUUCAAGUUCUCAUAUGACAAUCUCUCUUAUGACACUAAUUUUUUGUUAGUAGUAUGCUAGUUGUUUGGAAUCAUUGAUAGCUCUCAUGUAAACAAGCUUUUUUUUGUGGAAAACUUGUUUUGUGAGAUUCUCUACAAAUAAAAUGUUGAGUAGAUAUUCAAGGGAAGCUUUAAGAAUAAAGAAAGCCAAUGGUUGGACCAAAGAACCAUAAAAUCCCAAAUACUUAUUUUCAUAUUACUUUUGUUUGAUGUUUUGAAUUAUAAAAUUCAGCCCCCCCCCCCUCCUUUGAGAAAAUUUCAUCUAUGAGCAUCAAACCAUAUUUAACAAGUGAAUCAUUUCUAAAUGAGGAGUUUUCUUACAAAAAGAGCAAGUAAAAUUAGUGACCUUGACUUUCUAUCACUAAACAUACUAUUUAUCUAGAGCUUGAUUCAGGAUUUUUUGAAUUUUCUUUCACUUUAGAUCUCCCUAGUCUACCAAGUCAAUUAGUUUGAGUUACCUCUAGGUUUUGAUUGUUAUUCCGAGCUAUAUUGAGAUAAAACUAAACUGCAAGAAACCAAAAAAGCUUACAACUUGUUGUUCAACAAUUUUGAAAGUACAAAAUCAUUGACUAUAGAGACUUGAAGGCCAAAAAUGCAUUCAAGAAUCAAAUUCAACCUAGGCACAUAUUGUGUGGCUAAAGCGUAGUUUCAUAUGAUUACAAUUUUUUUAUUUUAGUUUAUUUUUUAUGGCCUUGUGAACUAAUUAUAUUAUUUUAUAAGAUGAAUAACUUAUUGAAAGACAAGUGCUACAAUGGAAGAUGUUCAAACAGUUAUAAAAUAUGUGGAAUGUUACAAAUAAUUGCCUUGUGUAAUGCCUAACAAAACUAGCGAGGAAAUUUAAUAAUUUCGUUAUAUUGGGAAAUUUAUUGUUAAAAAAAUCAUCAUCAAGUUUAACUUGGUUAAAGGGAUUAUUUCUUCUAAUUAAAUGACCAUCUUUAGACUCAUUAUAUUUAAUCAUAAAUAUUAUAUUAUAAUCAUUGAUUAAACAUAUGAAGAAUAUUCUUAUGAGAUUUCUAUCUAAUAAAGAUAUGAUAAUAUAAAUAAUUUUUUCCAGAAAAAACUUUCAAAAUUUUUGAACAAAGAAUUCUCAUAAUUAAUCUAGCGAGUUAGAUUGAUGUAGUGUAGAAAAUCUUAUCAAAAGAGUAACAAAAGGUUUUUGACCUAGGUGACUGCUGGAACCUAUCUAAAGUCUAAAUCAAGCAGAGUAGAAGCCCAAGAAGUAUCAUGACUCAUUAAAACUUGAGUUAGUUUAAUUGUAAAAUUAGGCCCACAAUAAGAGAUGUUUUUGAAAAUGUCUACUUUUAUAUUUCUCCUUUUAUAAUAAACUCUUUUUAUUUUUAUAACCUUUUUAUUUUAGACUGGGUUCCAUUUUAAACCAUCUUUUAUGUUAUUUCUUUUCCAUUUUGUAUUCCCUUCCAAAUUUAGUUUGAAAUUCAAAUAGUGAUGACUUUUUGAUAAAUUGUAGCCUAUUUGAAGGCAGUCCAUAGAUCUCAGGAGACAAUUCUAAUUUUUUAUUCAAUUAUUUUUCAAAGUUCUUUUAUCAUUGAAUGUUCUUUUCUCUAUUGGUGGAUUCUAAUAUCCUCUAUAGAAUUAGAGAAUUUAUCAAAUCUUAUGGACUCAAGAUCAACUUCUUGUGGACUCAAGGGUAGAUGCUCAUUCAUUUUUUAUACUUAAGAUAAAAUAUCUUCAAUAGAAAUCAUAUUUUGUGGAUUCAAAGAUGAGACUUCAAGCAUUUAGAACUCGUGUUUCACCAAAUUGUUCAAAUCAUCAUUAACUCAACAUCCAUGUUGCAUCAUAAAUUCUAUGUCUUAGAUUUCACCUUGGAACUUGAAUUAAUUAUUAGCCUCAUAAGUAUGUAUAGAUAGGCCUUCUUGAUAGAUUUCAAGUAUCCAUCAUUCUUCCUCAUUGAAAAAAACUCCACCACCUUGUUUGGAACAAUGAGAUACCUUUGGUUAAAUAGCUAUUGUAGUUGACUUAAGAUUAAUUUAUUUUCUUCACAUACAAUUAGAAACUUUUUUCAUUUGAGACUUUUGUCUCAAGAUUAAUUAUAAUAUUAAAAAUAUAUCUGAAUAUGCCAUGGAACAGUUUUAAGUUUAUUUAGGAACCAGCUAGUAAUGGUCAAGAAAAUGUUCUCAUAAACAAUUCAAGUGAUGUUAAUUCAAUCAAUAAUGUAGGAGAUGGUAUUCUUAUAAAUUGAAAUGGUGAAAAUGUCUUAAACCCAUACAUUUUAAUGAUGAAUUUCAUCUCUUAUUAAUGGGUUGUUAGAGUUUUUUCUACUGAGUUAGACUCUAAGAUUUCUAUCAAAGUUGUCAUUUUUCCUAUUAUUCAUCUUCACACUAAUCUUUAGUCUCUAUGUAAAGUUCCAAGAAGAUCAGUUUUUUUUUAUGGUUGGGGUGGACAAUAAAAUAUGUGAUCUCAUUCCCCAACAGUUAGUUUAUUGUAAUACUUUCCUACAACUAAGAAUAAUGGCCAGAAAAAUCAAGGGUACAUUUACUUUAUACUUUUCUGUUGACCAACACUACAAAAUCAAGGCAUACAAAGUUAUUCAACUAAAUUUUCAUCAUUGGAUAUAUUUCCUCUCUAUUUAAUUGAUAUGUCUGGGUGACAUGAAUGCAUGCUUUACUAUUAUACAUCUGGAAGGAAAAGAGUUUGAAAAAUAAAAUUAUUUUAUGACUUUGUUACAACUUUAGUUGUGCUCCUUACACAAUCAUGGGAUAACCCUUUCCAAUGUUUCCUUUUAAAGCCUCAAAUCAUAGGGCUUCUUGUACUCUUUUAUCCUUUUAGUGGUUCUGCAUCAUUCAUGAAUGGCUUUCAUUUUCUCAGUCAUGCACCUUUCUAAGGCAUUGCUUUUGAUCUUCGAGAUAGAUAAUAAAAGCUAAAAUAUUCCCAUUGUUAUGUCAAAAUUAUUAUUGGACAAACAUCAGAAUUAUUAGAUGUAUGCUGACUCUCCAUUUUUUGGGGUGGGCAAGAAUUGGAAGAUUCUUGGUAUUUUCAUGAAAUGACAAUUAGGAAAUGUAUAGAAGUACUGAUUCUUCUAGCUAUGGGAGGAUCAAUUUUUCCCAUGUAUAGUUUCCCUCCUUCCAUUUAUUAAAAUCCACCUCCUCAAAAUUGAAGCAUGCUUCUGAACGUUUAGAAGUUCGAUCUCAAGAAACCUAUCUUCUCAGUCAAAUCUAUUGCUGGGGUAGGCACUCUCUUUUUUUCUAAGUGUGUUUUGUUUCAUGUUGAAUUUGACCUAAGAAAUUGUUAUGCAAGGCCUGAUGAGGUGCAAAAGAUUUGGUUAAAAACUUUAGGCAAGCCAAUCUAGUUCUACUUAGUUAAAAAUAGCAAAGAAAAAACCGAAAAAGGAACUACAGGAUUGAGAGUAGAUAGAAUCACAGUAAAUUGGUUGUCACACACAAUUGAUUUUAUAGUGCAGCAAUAUCAUUUUCACAGCAAAUUUACGUACAAAAAUCUGCUCACUUUUCUUUUUUAGACUGCAAUAGCUAAGACUUUGAGCUAUCAUUAAAGGUGUCAAUGGAUUGGGCUCUUGAAGUGUUCAAGUCCCCAUCCAACUUUACCGGAUACGCAUAGCUGGUUUGGGCUAUGCUAACAAGAAACGUGAAGAAGGAUUUACUUAAGAGAACUUUUCUUUGAGGAAGGAUAUGCCUUUAGAGGAGCGGAAAGGAGAUCGUGCCACACAUAGGAGUUGAAGAGUACCCCCACUAGGGAGCUGGGUGUGGUGUGAGCAGGAUGGAAGAAGAAAUGUGGAGCCCAUGACAAGAGGCUGCCUUUUGGCUGUAGAUAUUGUGUAGCCGAGGACAAGGAAGGUGUGGGUAGAAGAAGAAUUGUCAUCUCCAUUGGUGCUUUCACAGUCCACCCUGUGCUGCAUGUCAAGCGCAUGGGAGCCUCGUUUAAUCCGGAUUAUGCUUGGGGUACUUUUCCUAAUUUAUCACACCUCAGUCAAUGAAAAGGAGCUGGGCAAAGUCGUCUUUAGAGAAAGGUGGAAGAAGCCCUCAAUUUAUCUAUUUCUCACUUAGAUAUGUGGCAUCUGCAGGAACAGACUGGCGGAGUGCUGAUCCGCCUCAGACUGUAGCUGCCUUUAUGCAAGUGCCUGAGCUUAUCCCACCUGGCCGGGGGCAACUUAAAUCUGCCCUAUCUUCAAGAGAAAAUGUGUCUCCGGGGGCUAGGAAAAUAUUUUUUUUCAGGAUUAAAAAUUUUUGGGUUGCCAUAAACAUCGACGAAAAAACACAUCUCCCUACGUUCUUAUCAGAAAACCCAUCUGCAAAAUGUACAAAAAAUAAUAUUUUUAACCGGCCAAGCCCAUUCCAAGGAGUAUCUUAGAAAGAGAACUGCCCCACAGAGUGGAAAAGAAAGCUGCCAUCCAAGACGAUGACAAUUAUGGAUUUUGCUAGGAGACUGAGGUUAAAGUGAGAAUAACAAAUAAUACUACAGCAACAGCUCUGAGGAACUUCUCGGAAUCUGUAAGUGGCCAUCGGCGCCGUAUCAUUCCCAUGGCAGUAUAAAUCGCCAACAAUUCUAAGUGCUAAAGACUACCAACAUUUCUUUCUGAGAAGCUGUCUUUUUGAGCGUUUUGAUCUUAUCCUGGAUACUCCGUGGAGGGGCGGGUCUCGGAUGAACCUGGGAUCACUAAUCCGGCAGCAAGAUACGAUCUUUAUUACCCUACGUCUCUGGUGCUUGAGUGGGCUCAUCUUCACGUCCAUUGGGCACUGAAUCUGAGGCAUUUUGAAGCCUCUCCUUCGAGUCUCUGCUGGAGUGAAGGUCGUAUCUGGGGAGGGGGGGUGUCUCUGGAUGGGCCUCUACUCUUCAUUAAUAAAAGAAGCCAUGCUCUGCUCUGGUAGAGGGGAAACCGCCUGCCGGGGGGAGGGGCGGUCUGGGAAGGAUGUUUAUCCUCACAACACCACCUUUUAAGUUGCACAAGUGCGUGGAGUCCCCCAGUUCCGUGAGUCCUCUUCGGUCCUGUCUACGUCAAAGGAAACUUAGUGAGAUAACCCAAUCUCAUAAACCUAACCACUUCCUGCUCUUUCAGGGCACGAAGAGGCAGGCAGGCUUCCUUAGUCCAGCCUCGCCUGCAACGGCGUCGUACUGCACCCUGUCAGGGACUGAUGGCUUCCAUGGCAACCGGUUUCGCGCGGACUCGCAGCCCAGCUGCCCUGUUCCUCGGAACCCAACCGGUCCAUUUCGGCGCCCACCUUGAAUUCUCCGUCUACCGUUUCCCCGGCGUUGGUGCUUCGCGGAAGUGUGAGGGGAGGUGGAUUCGGCCCGCCCUCCGAGUGCAGUGCAGUCUAAUUGAUCCCGAUGGUGGAUCGCUGAUGAACCUCAUAGUGCCCGACGGCCGAGGAAGGGAGACGAAGCGGCGGGAGGCGCUGUUGUCCAGCGAACCCCGGAUCAAGCUGUCCAGGAUCGACCUCGAGUGGGUCCACGUUCUCAGUGAGGGUUGGGCGAGCCCCCUCCGCGGUUUCAUGAGAGAAGCCGAGUUCCUCCAAACACUUCAUUUCAACUGUCUCCGCCUGGAAGAUGGGACGGUUGUGAACAUGUCCGUGCCUAUUGUGCUGGCCAUCGACGAUUCGCAGAAGCAGGCCAUCGGUAAAAACAGCAAGGUUACACUGGUCGAUGACAACAACAAGCCCGUGGCGAUUUUAAGCAAGUCAGCUGGCAACCUUCUUGUUUUUUUCCUUUUUGACGUUAUUUAUAGAAUUAUAUUAAUCUCUGUUAAUUUCUGAUUACCGUCUCGCUUCUUGUCUAGCGAUUUCUUCUUUGAACAUUUGUGAUAGAACUUCUGAAGUAAUUCCGUGCAUUUGUCUUGGUUGAGGAUGAUACGGUGGUUCAUUCUCUUAUUUUCAUCUUUUUUUUUUGCUGUCUAGUUGACUAGCUUUGGAUUUUUGUUCCAUGGCGCUCGUUGGUUUUUAUUCACCUGGCAAAUUUCAGUCAUAGUUCUCUUCCGUUUGGUGCUACCUGAUUGAAGUGGGACGUUCAAAACAAGAGCAGACGUAACGUUGACCGAAUGAGCUUCGUUUUGAGUUUGGUUUUACGUUAUCACAUCUGUCUCUUGGACAUAAAUAGAAAUUUAAUCCCAUCAAUAGAUGCCCUCUCUAUCUUGUUUGCUAUUUUACUUGAACUAGGCAUUGCAGAAUUGGCUGUGAUGGAUUUCUUUUUCUUCUUGUGAAUUACAUUGCUUGUUUAACGGGGUUUUGCAUGCAAUCGUUGACAAUGGAUUCUUCUUAGUAUCAGUUACGGUUUCCAUAUUGUAUGUAGUUGAAUUUUGCCUUCAUGUCAGUGCUGUCAGUUUGACUGGUUUGCCUGGCCCACGAUUUUUAGAAUCCCAUCCAAACUACAUCGUGUAGAACUAGUGGAUUUUACUGAUGCCAUUUAGUUUGCCCAAACCUCUUCAUAUACAAGGUAGCUACAUUCGAGUCCUAGUAUUGUGGAGCACGUCUACUACGACUUUCAUAUUUUUUUUUCCGUGAUAAUGUUCACCUGUCAACUUCUUUCUUGCCAAUGCACAUCUUGUAUGACUUUGAUAAUAAAAUAUUUUUUAAAACUAUUUGGAGGCUAAGACUAUGAUUUCAGAAAUCUCGAUGCAUUAUGUUUCCAAAGAUUGUUUCAUUUGGUGAAUUCCCUUUUCCUGUUAUUUCGUUCAACUUUAUUGAGCUAAGAUUUUUGUAGUUUUCACCUAUUAUUUACACUUUUAGGCAGUUUGGAAAAUGGAGAGGCAAGAAGUAUCUAUCUUCAAUGAUUUUGAGUUAAUAAGAUCAGUGUUUUCCAGGAUUAAUGCAUCUUGUGUAUCCAUUUUUCAAGUUUCUACUUGAUUUAUCAACAACCCCAGUUCAGGCUUGACUAUUUGACAUGAAAUUUAUCCCUCUUACAAAUCCACAAUCUGGCAGGUGUAUUCCAAACAAUUUCAUCAGAUCUUUGAUCUAAGGCUUUUUUAUUGAUCACACCAUCAAUGCGUUGAGGAUAAUGUACUGUUGGCAUAGCAAGUCUGUGACUUUCAUAUUGUGUCUACCAACUGUCAGUCAAUUGUUGAGAUUUGCAUUCUUUGAAUUGUUCAUCUCGAACUGAGCUUUUGACCCACCAAAUGCAUACCAUCAUGUCAUUAUUGUCACUAAAAUGUCACUCCUGGAGAUAGCUUUUGUAUCGAAGCUUCUGGUGCUGGUUGUUACGUUGAAUUUGUGAUUAGUAAGGAUAGAUCAAAUAUCAAAAACCUCUAUUAUAAAUAUUUAAAUAUUUUAUUUUGGACCAAGGUUUUGUAAGAUAAUUUAGGCUAAGAGUUGGUUAGAAGCAGUAUUUUUAAUGAGCUACGCGGAUGGGAAUAAGAUCAAUCACUCAUUAUCCACUUUUUGUGAGUAAUAUUUAAUUGUUCAGCAAAUCAGUGUUCCUACUUGAAUUGAAUCCUUUGUUGUGACAAGGUGGCCCCUAUUGAAUGACAGCUCACUUAAGAAAUAAAAGGGCAUAAAACCAAAGGUUCAGACAUAAAGUAGUUCGACCCCUUUUGAUUUCCAAUGACCACGAAUUUUCCCAAACAUUGGUUCGUCCCCUAGCUGAAUGAGCAUUAUUGAAUCGUCAGCUUUAGCUUUAGGGAGUACUUUGACAACUCCCAUUCAGUGUUGUGAAAAUGUAGAUGGUUGGAGUGCUUUGAUAGUUUGAAGAGCAGAUGCCAAUGCAAAACUCCUCUCAUUGCAAUGUGGCGGUCACAGCAAUGUUAUCUAAACCGUAUGGAAAGAAUCUGGACACAGAAAAUGGUUGAAACAAGCACAAAGAUUAGCAUUUCAAGCAAAGUUUGAAAAAAGCUUCAUGCCGUAUUUAACUUUUGAUAACUUAGAGAGGAACCUAGGAUAUGGUGCCCAAUUUCUUGGUGUCACCAGACUCGUUGGUAAGGCUUCAUAAUGAUGAUAACUUUUUAAGAUCAAUACUGAAUUUAUCUAUCGAAAAGAAAUACUACUAUUGACUUUUGUGCCCCCAAAAGUUUCUCUUAUUGCAUGCUGUCACUGUAGUCACAUCCCUCUGUAGAUUCUGCUCAUGAGCAUUCACUUUAAAUGGGUUUCCUCACAUUAAGAUUGUUUAUGGCCUCCCCACGCAUGCACCUUUUUUAAUGACUUCUAAUAACAUCCUUGAAGCUUUGCCAUUUAUUUAUCCUUGAUGAAUUAAUAAUUCCUUUUCACAAGGGUAUGCUACUAGAUGCGAUAAUGCUGUGGCCUCUGCUUCUCUGAAUUGUUGUGCUAGAAUAGGCCAUUAAAAAAUAUUUGCACUUCCUUCAGUAAGACGUGACAAUCAGUAGGACCGAUUUAUAGAAGUGCUCGGCAAUGAUUCAUGUUUGUUAGCGUAUUGGAUGGACAAUUCGUUUUCUGAUCAAGUGUGGAUGUGCUUUAACAUGAGUCUACAGAAAGGGGGAAACUGGUAAAAUGGGGCAUUGGG